GGCAACGUGCCAGAGUGGUUAAUGGGUUAGACUCGAAUCAUGGCUAUCCUAGCAUGUCAUCUAAUAACUUCGGUUGCACAGGUUCGAAUCCUGUCGUUGUCG